rnacentral:rRNA from 1 species
UAUUAAAGGCAACGCCUGCCCAGUGAACAAUUAAACGGCCGCGGUACCCUAACCGUGCAAAGGUAGCGUAAUCACUUGUCUAUUAAUUGUAGACCCGCAUGAAAGGCAAAAUGAGGGCCUAACUGUCUCUUGUAGUACGUCAAUUAAACUGAUCUUCUAGUCCAAAAGCUAGAAUACCCCCAUAAGACCAGAAGACCCUGUGAAGCUUAAACUAAACUAUUAAAUCUUAUAAUAGCUCCUUUCGGUUGGGGCGACCUUGGAAAAAAAAAGAACUUCCAAAGACCCAGCACAGCUGACAAUUGAACCAAGUUACUCCAGGGAUAACAGCGCUAUCUUCUUCAAGAGCCCAUAUCAAAAAGAAGGUUUACGACCUCGAUGUUGGAUCAGGGCAUCCUGAUGGUGCAGCCGCUAUCAAAGGUUCGUUUGU